AGCGAGAUGGCCGAGAUUAGGCGAUAAAUUGUAAAUUUAUUUACGGGUUUUCCCUCUCGCUA
rnacentral:tRNA from 1 species